ACGCCAAAAACUGGUCUAGAUAGUCCUACUCCUGUAAAUUACCCGCUCAGGUGAUACCUACCUCACUCAACGCCUGGACUAUGUUAGACAAUAUUGUAUAAU